CUCAUUUCCUAAAGAUUCUUCAGAGUCCUAAAGAAAAGGAGAGAGGGAAGCAGGGAAGAGGAGACAGGAGAAUUAGGGUGUACAUCAGAGCUCAGCAUGGCUGUGAGGGAAAGUGCCCAAGUAUCAUUAUUAAGGGAAGGGAUUGGGCUUCUCUCACUGAGUUACCAAAGAAAAUUGUACAACAGCCAGGGCCCAGCCCAGACUCAAAGAUAGAAUCAGAUAUUAACAAGGGAGAAAUUCAGAAUCUGGGUAAGGUUACCAGGGAGGUCAGAGCCUCUAAGAUUAGGAUCUGGAGUGAAAUAGAGGCAAAACAACAGGAAACAAGGUCAAAAACUGGAAGGCUUGAUUUUGGCUUCUAAAUUGGGAUCAGUUACACAGGAAAUUAAAUUCAAGAAAAAACUGAGGAGGCAAUAGGGUUCAACGUCACUGACUAAGUCCAGUUAAGUGCAAAGUAGCAGAUUGGCAGAGUCAUGCUGGGUUCCCCAACGUUCCUGGCUCUACCCAAUUGUGUAUCGUCUUCCACUCAACCAAUGGUCCAUCCCACAGGCUUUGCCUCUGUCCCCCAUAGGACUAUAACACACUCAAGGUCUUUUCAAGUAGCCGUUAGGCAAACCAUACCAUUGAUUUUCCAGUUUUUCAGUGGGGUAAGCAGUGAAGUCAGAGUAAACAGAGAGGUCAGAGCUUCCAACCCCAGGUGGAUCUGCCCCACCUCUGAACUAAUAUGGGAAAGUUUUAAGACUGGUCGACACUAUUGUAAAAUGCACUCAGCCAGGGUAUGGGACGAAUACCCGAGAAAGUCUAACCUCCUCAGGACUCGCUACCCGACAGGGACUCCCAACAUAUACACUUGGACAAUUGGUGGAACUCUUCAAUGUUUUCCCUUCUGGCACCCCUUUUAGGCCCCCUAAUGUCUUUACUACUUCUAUUCACUAUAGGCCCCUGUGUGGUAAACAAAAUUUUACAAUUUGUCAGAGAAAGGUUUGAUACCAUCCAACUAAUGGUCCUCCGUAGCCAUCACCAGCCUCUCCUGCACCCAGAAAGUGAGGCUACAUUAUAAGACUCUGGAAAUCCAAGAUUGGACAUCCAGUUACUUGUGAGAGGGGGAAAUGAAAGAACACCAAACCCUUUGUUCUGCUCUCUAAUCUUUGCACAUACCAGAGAUUCCGUAAGUUCUGUGAGUACCUGCUUUUCUGCACGUACCAGAGAUUUUGUAAGUUCUGAGGCAAGGUCACAAGACGUGUUUUAAGUAAGAUAAACUCUUGCUGCCAUAAACCUGCUCUCCCGCCUCAAAGGUUGAACCGAAAUGGCGGGAACCAAUCAUAGUUAGCCAAAUCGCCUUGUUCAAACACUAGCCAAUCAUAUAUCUGAUUUGUAUAAUAACUCUAUGCCCACUUUUCUUAGACUAUAUAACACUGCUCGGAGCUCAGUGGGGGAGCUCUCCUGCCCGUCUCGUUUCACGAGCGAGGGAGAGUUCCAGGUUCGAACCUGUAAUAAAGAUCCUUGCUGCUUAAAAAAAAAAAAAAAAAAAAAAAAAAAAAAAAAAAAAAAGACUGGUCGAGUGGGGUCAUGGGCCAGAGAGGUACAUUAAUAGAGAAUUUGGAAACUUUGUGCAGUAGGUGGGCUUCUCAGAUGAAUCCCAAGACCCCCACCUCCUGAUGUGCAUGCCUGCAUCUGUAUCGUUUCCUCCUCCUUGAGCAUGGGGGGACCUGUGAAUAUGAGCGAUAUCACCCCAGGCAAAACGGAGAUUCACCUGGGUGGGCCUGGCUUAAUCAGGUGAACCUUUAAAAAGGUGGAGCAUCAGAGACACCUUCCCCCACUGGCCUGGAGGGAGAUGCGCGCCGUGUUGUGACCAGCCUAGGGAGACCCCAUGACAAGGAACUGCAGGCAGCUUCUGGCAGCUGAGAGCAUUCCCCAGCCUUGGGAUGUGCUUGGAAGAUGACCCUGAGCUUCAGAUGAGAACAUAGCCUCAGUUGACACUUUGAUGCCAGCCUGGUAAGAGUAUGAGUAGAAGACCCAGCCUGGACUUCUGGCCUUCAGAAAGCAUGGUUGAGUGUGUAGUCCUCUGUGACAUAGCAAUAAAAACUAAUCCACCUCACCUACCUGAUGGAAGGCAGCAGUAGUUUCUUUGUCUUGUUUUUUGUUUGUUUUUGAGAUGGAGUUUCACUCUUGUUGCCCAGACUGGAGUGCAAUGGCGUGAUCUUGGCUCACCACAAUCUCUGCCUCCCAGGUUCAAGUGAUUGUCCUGCCUCAGCCUCCUAAGUAGCUGGAAUUACAGGCAUGAGUCACCACGCCCAACUAAUUUGGUAUUUUUAGUAGAGAUGGGGCUUCUCCAUAUUACUCAGGCCGGUCUUGAACUCCUGACCUCAGGUGAUCCACCUACCUCGGUCUCUCAAAAUGCUGGGAUUAUAGGCAUGAGCCACAGUGCCCAGCCAGCAGCAGUAAGUUUAACUUGAACCUCAAGCUGCUUUGAUGUGCUCUGUGAUGCAGAACAAUAGAUCAACAUACACAUCAUAGAUUCAUAAAUCCACACAAGGCCUUAGAGAGCACGUCUUCUAACCCUCAGAGAGGUUUAAGUGACUUGCUCAAGGACACGCUACCAAUUAGUGGCAAAUAUGGUGGUGAUUCUUAAUCAUUCCCAUAUCUGAAAGUAAAAAGUAAAUGGGUCAAGGAUCCAGAGCACUCAAAAACGAGAGGAAUCUUAAACACCAUCUUGUGGAAGCCCCUCUGUUUGGGACAAGAGGAAACUGAGGCAUGGAAGAUUAGGGAGUUUGCAGUGUUCUUUCCAAUUCCCAGAGCCACGUCAAAGCAGCAGGUGUAGCCCUACGACAGAUAGCCAUGCGCAUGCCUUGCCCUACUAAACAGAAAUCGGCUUGCACCAAAAACCAUUGCCUGCCCACUUAUCCCCAAAAUAAAACUCAGCAGCAAGAUGCAUCCAAGAUACAAGAGCUCCCCUGACAGACAACCAAGUUAUUCCCAGCUCACAGGAGACAGAAUUCUUAUGUGGCCACUCAUGGCCCGGGCUUUCUCCUUUGCAGGAAGCCUGGGCUACAUUGAAGGAGAAAGGAGAAAGCGGGGAGGACUGGGAGACAGAAAGAGGGGCAGGCUUGAUAGGUCCUUUUUUUGGAAGCUUAGAAACAAAAGAAAAUAUUGCAUCUUUGUUAGUCAAGGACCUUUUGUGGAGGUUGAUGUGUGCCAGUCAGAUCUGAGGGGUGUGUGUGGGGGCGGGGGUGUAUGUGUGGGUGUGUGUGUAACCGAGUAGCCUGUCAGAGCCUCAUUUUCCAGGAUGCAAGUCUCCCCCUAACUGAUAACACUCUAAAUAACAGGUGAGUGACUCCUGGCAGGAAGGAGAUUGUCUGACCUCAUUGUUUGCCUUUUCCCCCCUCUUUGUUCUUCACAAAUAAAGGUUUUUUAAUAAACUGAAAGGUCCUCCGCUCUUGCCUGAUGAUAAAAUGAAAGGAACCAGUGAGGUAUGGUACAACGUGGCAGCGAAAAAGGAGAAGCUCAUCAGAAAAUAACAAAGGUGCAAGUUAAAGAUAAGGCAGCUGUCAGAGAUUAAUCCUGCCCGCCUGAUUGUUUUCUUUAAUACCAAAGCCUGCAAUAGCAAGCGAUAAGUUUGCUGAGUAAUUUGGUUUUUGGUGAGGAAAUAAAAUUCAGGUAGGCCCCAUAAUUGAUUUCCCUUUUUUUAGUUUUCUAAACAUUAAACAACAACAACACAAAGC
ensembl:lncRNA